UGAACCGCACAAAAGCUCAUUCGUUCUCUCCUUAAUAUACACUAGAUUUUAACCCGCGGUAUACCGCGAAACAAUUUUUUUUUUUAAAUCAGUAUAUAUAAAAGUUUGCAAAUUAUAUUUAUCUAUA
rnacentral:sRNA from 1 species